AUUGAACGCUGGCGGCAUGCCUUACACAUGCAAGUCGAACGGUAACAGGUCUUCGGAUGCUGACGAGUGGCGAACGGGUGAGUAAUACAUCGGAACGUGCCUAGUAGUGGGGGAUAACUACUCGAAAGAGCGGCCAAUACCGCAUGAGAUCUACGGAUGAAAGCAGGGGAUCGCAAGACCUUGUGCUACUAGAGCGGCCGAUGGCAGAUUAGGUAGUUGGUGGGAUAAAAGCUUACCAAGCCGACGAUCUGUAGCUGGGCUGAGAGGACGAUCAGCCACACUGGGACUGAGAAACGGCCCAGACUCCUACGGGAGGCAGCAGUGGGGAAUUUUGGACAAUGGGCGAAAGCCUGAUCCAGCAAUGCCGCGUGCAGGAUGAAGGCCUUCGGGUCGUAAACUGCUUUUGUACGGAACGAAAAGCCCCGGGUUAAUACCCUGGGGUCAUGACGGUACCGUAAGAAUAAGCACCGGCUAACUACGUGCCAGCCGCCGCGGUAA
rnacentral:rRNA from 1 species